UCCGUAGGCGGAUUGAUAAGUCAGAGGUGAAAUCCCACAGCUUAACUGUGGAACUGCCUUUGAAACUGUUAGUCUUGAGUUAUAUGGAAGUAGAUAGAAUGUGUAGUGUAGCGGUGAAAUGCAUAGAGAUUACACAGAAUACCGAUUGCGAAGGCAGUCUACUAUGUAUAUACUGACGCUAAUGGACGAAAGCGUGGGGUGCGAACAGGAUUAGAUACCCUGGUAGUCC
rnacentral:rRNA from 1 species